rnacentral:rRNA from 1 species
ACUACGGAGGGCAGCAGUGAGGAAUAUUGGUCAAUGGCCGGAAGGCUGAACCAGCCAAGCCGCGUGAAGGACGAAGGUGCCAAGCAUUGUAAACUUCUUUUGUCAAGGGACAAAAUCAGGCUCGAGAGCCUGACCGAGGGUACUUGAAUAAAAAGCAUCGGCUAACUCCGUGCCAGCAGCCGCGGUAAUACGGAGGAUGCGAGCGUUAUCCGGCUUUAUUUGGUUUAAAGGGUGCGUAGGCGGGCUGUUAAGUCAGCGGUAAAAGCCCGGGGCUCAACCCCGGCGAGCCGUUGAAACUGGCUGUCUUGAGAUGUCGAGAGGUAUGCGGAAUGCGCAGUGUAGCGGUGAAAUGCUUAGAUAUUGCGCAGAACUCCGAUUGCGAAGGCAGCAUACCGGCGGCGAUCUGACGCUGAGGCACGAAAGCGUGGGUAUCGAACAGGAUUAGAUACCCGAGUAGUC